UACAUGCAAGUCGAGCGAACAGACGAGGAGCUUGCUCCUCUGACGUUAGCGGCGGACGGGUGAGUAACACGUGGAUAACCUACCUAUAAGACUGGGAUAACUUCGGGAAACCGGAGCUAAUACCGGAUAAUAUAUUGAACCGCAUGGUUCAAUAGUGAAAGACGGUGUUGCUGUCACUUAUAGAUGGAUCCGCGCCGCAUUAGCUAGUUGGUAAGGUAACGGCUUACCAAGGCAACGAUGCGUAGCCGACCUGAGAGGGUGAUCGGCCACACUGGAACUGAGACACGGUCCAGACUCCUACGGGAGGCAGCAGUAGGGAAUCUUCCGCAAUGGGCGAAAGCCUGACGGAGCAACGCCGCGUGAGUGAUGAAGGUCUUCGGAUCGUAAAACUCUGUUAUUAGGGAAAGAACAUUGUGUAAGUAACUAUGCACGUCUUGACGGUACCUAAUCAGAAAGCCACGGCUAACUACGUGCCAGCAGCCGCGGUAAUACGUAGGUGGCAAGCGUUAUCCGGAAUUAUUGGGCGUAAAGCGCGCGUAGGCGGUU
rnacentral:rRNA from 1 species